rnacentral:misc_RNA from 1 species
AAUUCUCAACCCCUUCAGCUUUUGUGGCUUUAUGGGGCUUGGAUGUGGAGGUCUUUUGCGGGCCCUUUUUGCUGGGUCGGCUCCUCUGAAAUGCAUUAGCGGAACCGUUUGCGAUCCGUCACAGGUGUGAUAAUUAUCUACGCCAGUGGGUCGCUCUCUGUCUUGUUCAGCUACCAACCGUCCGCAAGGACAACACCAAUUACUGAAC